GAGCUGUGCAGUGUACAGCCAACACAGAUGUGCCUUCUUCUUUCUCGUUGCUAUUGGGAGGAUGAUGUUGCUAGAUGAAAUGGUGCUGUUGCUUCCCGGAGCUUUCAGUGUAAUCGGAGCAGAACAUUUUUGCAUAAAACUAAAGAUAGAUCGUCUGCUAAUAAUCAUAUUCAAGUGACGGCAAGCAUUCAGUUUCUCUGCCUGGCUGGGAAAACAUGACUGCAUUUAAGGGUGUUAGAAGCAUCAAGCUGACAAGGCUGGACAGGCUGGACGAGCUGGCUCCUGUUGGUCAGUGUGUGGCUGCUAAGUGAGCUACACAGCUUUCAGGUGAGGAAACUCACAGGAAGUCGUGGACCACUCUCUUUCUAAGCAACUCUAUGAACUGCAAAACCAAUGUCACUGAAGGUUUUGUUGGUUCUGUCCUGGAACACCAUCUGACCCAUCCGUUAAAAAGCAAAAACCAACCAAACGAAA
ensembl:lncRNA